GGGCCCGCACAAGCGGUGGAGCAUGUGGUUUAAUUCGAUGAUACGCGAGGAACCUUACCAGGGUUUAAAUGCAGAACGACAGGGGUGGAAACACCCCCUUCUUCGGACGGACUGCAAGGUGCUGCAUGGUUGUCGUCAGCUCGUGCUGUGAAGUGUCGGGUUAAGUCCCAUAACGAGCGCAACCCCCAUUUCUAGUUGCCAGCGGUUCGGCCGGGGACUCUAGAGAAACUGCCAGCGUAAGCUGUGAGGAAGGUGGGGAUGACGUCAAAUCAUCACGGCCCUUACAUCCUGGGCCACACACGUGCUACAAUGCCCAGCACAAUGGGAUGCAACACCGCGAGGUUGAG
rnacentral:rRNA from 1 species